rnacentral:rRNA from 1 species
UACGGAGGGUGCAAGCGUUAUCCGGAUUCACUGGGUUUAAAGGGAGCGUAGGUGGGUUGGUAAGUCAGUGGUGAAAUCCCCGAGCUUAACUUGGGAACUGCCAUUGAUACUAUCAGUCUUGAAUACUGUGGAGGUUAGCGGAAUAUGUCAUGUAGCGGUGAAAUGCUUAGAUAUGACAUAGAACACCAAUUGCGAAGGCAGCUGGCUACACAAUUAUUGACACUGAGGCUCGAAAGCGUGGGGAUCAAACAGG